rnacentral:tRNA from 1 species
GGGAACGUAGCUCAGUGGGAGAGCAUUUGUGUGGCAUGCACAAGGCCCUGGGUUCGAUUCCCAGCACCA